rnacentral:rRNA from 1 species
GGUGUUUACUGUCGAACUGAACACUCUACCGUUUACUGUCUGGUGGUGCUCUUCACCGAGUGUCACCAGUGUCGUACGUUACUUGAAAAAUCAGAGUGCUCACGCUGUAUACACGACUGAAUACUGUGCAUGGCAUAUGAAAUAGACUCUGAUUCUAUUUUGUUGGUCUCGGAACCAAGGUAAUGAUAGAGGGACAGACGGGGGCAUUAGUAUGCGACGCAGAGGUGAAAUUCUUGGACCGUCGCAAGACUAACUAAAGCGAAAGCAUUUGCCAAGAAUGUUUUCAUUAAUCAAGAACGAAAGUGAGAGGUUCGAAGGCGAUCAGAUACCGCCCUAGUUCUAACCAUAAACGAUGCCAACCAGCAAUCAGCCUGUGUUCUCUUGAUGACACGGCUGGCGGCUUCCGGGAAACCAAAGUCUUUCGGUUCCAGGGGAAGUAUGGUUGCAAAGCUGAAACUUAAAGGAAUUGACGGAAGGGCACCACCAGGAGUGGAGCUUGCGGCUUAAUUUGACUCAACACGGGGAAACUCACCCGGCCCGGACACUGUGAGGAUUGACAGGUUGAAGCCCUUUCUUGAUUCAGUGGGUGGUGGUGCAUGGCCGUUCUUAGUUGGUGGAGUGAUUUGUCUGGUUAAUUCCGAUAACGAACGAGACUCUAGCCUACUAAUUAGACCGUGGCGUCCUCGUGCCGCCACGGCGCUUCCUAGAGGGACAGACGG